GACAGAGGGUGCAAACGUUGUUCGGAAUUACUGGGCGUAAAGCGCGUGUAGGCUGCUCGGAAAGUCGGAUGUGAAAGCCCUGGGCUCAACCCAGGAAGUGCAUUCGAAACUCCCGAGCUUGAGUUUCGGAGAGGCAGGCGGAAUUCUCGGUGUAGAGGUGAAAUGCGUAGAUAUCUGGAGGAACACCGGUGGCGAAGGCGGCAUCCUGGACCAACACUGACACUGAGGAGCGAAAGCCAGGGGAGCAAACGGG
rnacentral:rRNA from 1 species